AUUGAACGCUGGCGGAAUGCUUUACACAUGCAAGUCGAACGGCAGCAUAGAGAGCUUGCUCUCUGAUGGCGAGUGGCGAACGGGUGAGUAAUAUAUCGGAACGUGCCUAGUAAUGGGGAAUAACUAGCUGAAAGGUUAGCUAAUGCCGCAUACGACCUACGGGUGAAAGCAGGGGAUCUUCGGACCUUGCGUUAUUAGAGCGGCCGAUAUCUGAUUAGCUUGUUGGUGGGGUAAUGGCCUACCAAGGCGACGAUCAGUAGCUGGUCUGAGAGGACGAUCAGCCACACUGGAACUGAGACACGGUCCAGACUCCUACGGGAGGCAGCAGUGGGGAAUUUUGGACAAUGGGGGCAACCCUGAUCCAGCCAUUCCGCGUGAGUGAAGAAGGCCUUCGGGUUGUAAAGCUCUUUCGCAAGAGAAGAAAACUUGCUAUCUAAUAAAUAGUAAGUAUGACGGUAUCUUGACAAGAAGCACCGGCUAACUACGUGCCAGCAGCCGCGGUAAUACGUAGGGUGCAAGCGUUAAUCGGAAUUACUGGGCGUAAAGCGUGCGCAGGCAGUUUUAUAAGUCAGAUGUGAAAUCCCCGAGCUCAACUUGGGAACUGCGUUUGAAACUGUAAGACUAGAGUGUGUCAGAGGGGGGUAGAAUUCCAAGUGUAGCAGUGAAAUGCGUAGAGAUUUGGAGGAAUACCAAUGGCGAAGGCAGCCCCCUGGGAUAACACU
rnacentral:rRNA from 1 species